UGGUAAGUAUUUCUAAUUUUCAAAUUUUUCAAAUUUUCUAAUUUGUGUUGUUUGUUGCUUGAUGGUUACUUAUAUUAUUUCUAUAGCAGGUCUAAAACGCUUAGUGGAAAGUAUCAUGCCACCCGGAUUCGACAAUUUGUACAAACAGCCAAAAAAUCCUCAACUACAGGAUAUAACCAACAACAGCGGAUACAGGAGAGCCUUUAAGCCGAACUUAACGAGCAGUCCGGAGGUGUUGCUUGGUAAACGUUGCAACAGGGAACCAUCUUCAAGCAGAAAACGCAUCAGGCUGGAAGACAGCUGCAUACUGUUAGAUACAGAUUUGAACAACGCUGGACAGUCUACGAAUGGAGAAAAUGUGUUGCACAAUGAUGUCCAGGAUGUUUUAAACAAGGACGAAUGGUCGGAGGAUUUGACGGACAUCUGGGAUCAGAACAGUUUCAGCGAACCAGUCGAAAAAACUGUUGCUGCCGCACCACCGAAUGUUGGAAUAAACGCUUCGGACAAACACAGAGACACUGACGCAAAUGAGUUACGAUCAAACCAAGAGCAUGAGCAUCAAGAUCAGGUAGGACCCGAUGGUGAUUUAAACAGUAUUGGCGAGGUUUUAACUGUUCUAAGACAGCUUUCUGAAGAAAACAGA